UACGUAGGGUGCGAGCGUUGUCCGGAAUUAUUGGGCGUAAAGGGCUCGUAGGCGGUUUGUCGCGUCGGGAGUGAAAACCCAGGGCUUAACUCUGGGCUUGCUUUCGAUACGGGCAGACUAGAGGCAUGCAGGGGAGAACGGAAUUCCUGGUGUAGCGGUGAAAUGCGCAGAUAUCAGGAGGAACACCUAUGGCGAAGGCAGCUCGCUGGGACGUUACUGACGCUGAGACGCGAAAGCGUGGGGAGCAAACAGG
rnacentral:rRNA from 1 species